GUGGGGAAUAUUGGACAAUGGGCGAAAGCCUGAUCCAGCCAUGCCGCGUGUGUGAUGAAGGCCUUAGGGUUGUAAAGCACUUUUGUCCGGGAAGAUAAUGACUGUACCGGAAGAAUAAGCCCCGGCUAACUUCGUGCCAGCAGCCGCGGUAAUACGAAGGGGGCUAGCGUUGCUCGGAAUCACUGGGCGUAAAGGGCGCGUAGGCGGACUCUUAAGUCGGGGGUGAAAGCCCAGGGCUCAACCCUGGAAUUGCCUUCGAUACUGAGAGUCUUGAGUUCGGAAGAGGUUGGUGGAACUGCGAGUGUAGAGGUGAAAUUCGUAGAUAUUCGCAAGAACACCAGUGGCGAAGGCGGCCAACUGGUCCGAUACUGACGCUGAGGCGCGAAAGCGUGGGGAGCAAACAGG
rnacentral:rRNA from 1 species